GACGAACGCUGGCGGCGUGCCUAAUACAUGCAAGUCGAACGCUUCUUUCCUCCCGAGUGCUUGCACUCAAUUGGAAAGAGGAGUGGCGGACGGGUGAGUAACACGUGGGUAACCUACCCAUCAGAGGGGGAUAACACUUGGAAACAGGUGCUAAUACCGCAUAACAGUUUAUGCCGCAUGGCAUAAGAGUGAAAGGCGCUUUCGGGUGUCGCUGAUGGAUGGACCCGCGGUGCAUUAGCUAGUUGGUGAGGUAACGGCUCACCAAGGCCACGAUGCAUAGCCGACCUGGGAGGGUGAUCGGCCACACUGGGACUGAGACACGGCCCAGACUCCUACGGGAGGCAGCAGUAGGGAAUCUUCGGCAAUGGACGAAAGUCUGACCGAGCAACGCCGCGUGAGUGAAGAAGGUUUUCGGAUCGUAAAACUCUGUUGUUAGAGAAGAACAAGGACGUUAGUAACUGAACGUCCCCUGACGGUAUCUAACCAGAAAGCCACGGCUAACUACGU
rnacentral:rRNA from 1 species